GCUGGGCACAGUGGUGCGUGCCUGUAAUCCCAGCAGCUUGGGAGGCUGAGGCAGGAGGAUGGUGAGUUCAAAGCCAGCCUCAGCAACAGUGAGGUGCUAAUCAACUCAGUGAGACCCUGUCUCUA
rnacentral:sRNA from 1 species